CUAGAUAAAAAUGAAUCGACCAGGUUUUCACAGAUCUAAUUCAAGUUCAACCUGUAAACUAGAGGAACCUGUUAUACUCAGGAGACAAAGUUCUGUGAAAAGUUUGGUGAGUUUGGCAGGUAUAAGGAGGAAGAAAAGAAAGGAUUCUGAUUCUGUCAGUUGUACAGACAGUUGUACAACUGCGGAAAGUGGACGUGAUGUACUGCAGGAAAUGGUUUCUUUCAAAAAAAGAUUAAGCCGACGAAUGAGUUCUAUCCUGGAUUUUUCCAAGCCUUCCUCCGACGGAAGACGACAUUUAGAUUCUGUACCUCAUGUCAACAAUGUGAAGUUUACGAUAAGUGCCGAGGUUGAUGAUGACGGAUUGGAAAAUAAUAUAUCCAUCCCUAGACGGAUUCAAAGGAAAGAUAUUCCUAUAUGCUGGUUAGAUGAAUCUCAAGUUGUUCAAACACGACGGUUAAAUAAGAAAGCGAGGACGGAUAUAUUCUCUAACCUUGUGGAUACACUCUAUAACAGACAUCUAGCUAGGUAUAGAAUAGGACGGAUAUAUUCUCCAACCUUGUGGAUACACUCUACACCAGACAUCUAGCUAGGUAUAUUUUAACUUUCCUGCGAGAAGAGGAUUUUGUCAACAUGAGUCAGGUUUGUGAUACCUGGCAGGAGUUUAUGUACGGGACA
rnacentral:misc_RNA from 1 species